CCCCCCCCCCCGCCGAGGAUUCCCUGAGGAUAACCGGUGUGGCAUUUCAUCUCCUGGAGGCCAGUGUGGAGUCUCAGAAAAAGCAUGUGCUUUGGCACGAAUCCUCCCAGCGAGCCAAAGAGAUGACUAAGCGGAGGAGGCUCAGAGAGGUGAAGACAGUUGUCCCGGGUCACCCAGCUAGCGAGUGCUGGGCUGGGGUCUGAACCCCUCUCACCAGGAACUGGUACUUGUUCCUCUGCCAUGUCACUUGGGCUUCCGCAUAGUUUUCCUUUGGAGAAAGGGAUAGAGAGCUUAAAAAUCAUUGGAAACCAGCGCACCAGACCAAGCGAAGUCCGGGGCUCGUGCCUGGCGGAUCGGCGUGUGAUAAGAGAGCUGCCCCGAGUCUCAGCUCGGAUGUUGGCCCACAGCCCUACUGUGGCCGGCCCCUGACUAGACCUGUCCUCAUCCCACUGACGAACUCAGAGGGGGCUGCCCAGGGCUGGGCAAGCACUGUCUCCUGCGAUCUACUGGAACCAUCUACCAGCUUGUUGCCAGGGCUAAGGUAUACCUGGGAAGCCGUGGCUGACACGAAGGAGGCCUGAAGAAACAUCAGCCACUGUAAUUUGUAUUAUUAUCACCGUACCUAUUGAGAGAGAAGUCAACAGAUGUGUGGAAGGAUGGCUGGACGUGCAGACGGCUGGACGGAUGGGCAGACGGAUGGCGGCGUGACGAGGGAAUGAGUCGGGGGACAAUCUAAUGCACACACAGAUGAGGGGAGGGUGGGUGGAGGAGAGGAAGGGAGAGGAUGGGGGGUUGGACACCAGAAUGGAUGCUCCGUGGGAAGGGCAGCAGGUGGAGCGAUCGCAGGGAACCCUGCUCUGAACUCACCCCCAAGGCGUCAGAGUCUGCUACCCGCCGCACUCCCGAUGGGAAAUCCUAUCGGAGUCGUCCCUCCCCAACACCCAGGUCUGCUCCUGCUCUGGCUCCUGACAGUUUACAAGCCAAGCUGUUCUCUGAGGCUCUCGUGGCACUCAGCAGCUGGUCACGCAGUCCCUGUCCGCCCUGUCACAGAGCCAUGCCCAGGGCCAGGCGGGCUCUCCUCCCAGAUGGCCCUGGUCUGGAUCCGCUGGGACUUCAAGUCCGCACCGGGGAGCUCAGUGCUCCACCUGAGGCAGCAGGACACAGCUCUGCCCCUGUGACUCCUUUUACGCUGUGUAAUUGCCCUCAACCUCCCAGGAAACUGAGGGAAUGGACUGAGCAGCGACUGCGUACCAGACCGACCCUCGGCGCUUUUUGUCAUAUUUAAUCAGUAUUACAAUCCUAGAAGGUGGAGUGUAAUCAUCCGUGUCUCACACAUGAGGUCGAGAACUCAGAGUCACGGAGAGCAAGUGGAAUCAGGACUUGAUCCCAGUCUCCCACUCCAGACACCAAGGCUCUUUCUACAACCUCAACAUUCUUGGGGGCCUCAGAAGGGGAUCCCAUCCCAUUUCCAGGGGGCACGCAAACUGUUGCUUGGGGACAAAGCUGGGACUAUGCCAGGAUUCUGGACGCCCCCCAAACGCCUUCUAGGGAUAAAAUGAUAUUUCUUAUUGAUCUUAUGUUAGAACAACUUGGCUAGAAGAAGACCUGUUGGUUCAAAGAGUUCAACCAUUGCCCCCCCGCCCCCAACCUUACUCCAUAUGCCGGUGAAGAACAUAGACAUGUACUCCUUUGGUCGCCAAGGAUACCGCAAUCUAAUGUGAUAUCUCCCCAGCAGGAAUGGUCCCGGUACUGGUCAGACAGGUGGAACAGCCCUUCUCUGCCCGUCUCCUGGGUUGGCAGCUAAUCCUGAAAUCAGCUUGUGAUCCACUCUCAGGGCUCCUUGUGUCUUAAAUGGGACUCUUGAGAACCAAGAGCCUUCAAAAUCAUGGAUGAAUCCUGAAUCGCGCCCCCCAGGAGCCUCUCCUACUGUCCUGUGUGGGCAGGCCGACCCACUUGCACAGGUGUAUCUCCUCCCUGAGCCAGACGAGAGGCCUUCUGUGCAGAUUGUUAAAUAUCUAAAAAUUUCCAGUGCUACCUGAUGUUCAAAGUACCAUGUCAUAGGAUCCCCAAAAUAGCUCCAGUACAAGAAAAAGAAAUUAUAGACCGAGCUCACUUAUGAAAUGGGACAGGAAAUUCUGAAUAAAAUAUUAGCUAAUGGAAUUCAGCAAUUCAUAUUUUAAAGUACAUCAUGAUCAAGUAAAGUUUAACCCAGGAAUGUAGGGUUAGCUCGAUAUUGGAAAAUUUAUUCUACGACACGGCACACGAACAGACGAAUGGAGAAAGAUCAGAGCGUCAUCUCAAAACAUGCAGGAAAGAGACUUAAUAUCAUGGAACACAUAUUCGUGAUUAAAACAGAAACUCUUGGUGAAAUAAGGGGAAAGGGAACAUCCCUAAUCUGAUGAAGUGUAUCUAUGAAGAAAUUUAAGCAAAUAUUUCACUCAAGGAUGAGGCGUUAGGCCUAGUUCCUUUAAGUCAGGAGUGAGGUCGGAUACCCUCUAUCAUUGACGCUGCUCCACAUUGAACUGAAGACCUAAUCAACACAAUGAGGAAAGAAGAAAUGAGUACAUCGUGUAAGAAUUCAAAAGAAGUAAAACUGACUUCAUUUGCAUUGCUAUAUAGAAAUUGCCCAAGAAUCUACAGUCUUCUAGAAUGAGUAAGAGCGUUCGCUGUAAUACAAGCUCAGUAUCUAGGUCUCA